CGCAGUUGAUCAUUCUCUGCUCCUUAGAACAACAGGAAAGUGAACCUUGUUAAAUGCCACUCGGAUCAGGCCACUCCUCUGUUGAAAACCCUCCCUUGAUAAAUAGUAUAAAGUAUCCCAUACAAGAGAACAUUAUUCAGCCAUAAAAAGGAAUGAAGUACUGAUACUGAUGCAUGCUACAUGGAUAACCUUUCAAAACGUGAAGGGAAAGAAGACAGACCACACAUUGUAUUCUUCCACAUAUGUGAAAUGUUAUGGGGUGACAAAAUUGUUCUAAAACUAGUUUCUGGUGAUGGUUGCACAACUCUGUGCAUAUACCAAAAGCCAUUAAAUUGCACACUUUAAAUGGGUCAAUCAUUUGGUAUGUGAAUUUUACCUCAAGCUAUUAAAAAAAAAGCAUGACAAUGAAAUGCAGUAUAUGACCUUGAUUGGAUCCUGAAUGGGGAGGAGGAGCUAUAAACUGUCAUUUUAAAGUCGUUAAUUUUUAAAAAAAUCAAAAAUGGCAUUUAUUUAAUUUUGAGACGGAGUCUCGCUCGGUCGCCCAGGCUGGAGUGCAAUGGCACGAUCUCGGCUUACUGCAACCUCUGCCUCCCGGGUUCAAGCAAUUCUCUUGCCUCAACCUCUCGAGUAGCUGGGACUACAGAUACACACCACCACGCCCAUCUAAGUAGAGACGGGGUUUCACCAUUUUGGCCAGGCUGGUCUCAAACUCCUGGCCUCAAGUGAUCCACCCGUCUCAGCCUCUCAAAGUUCUGGGAUUACAGGCAUGACCCACCGCGCCCAGCCUAGAUGGCCUUUCUUAGUGCAGUCCUAGUAGUCUUAAAUGAUAACUAUUAAUAUUAUUAUGUAUGCAAUAAAAUUUGAUUUUGCCCAUUGUGCAAAUUAUUUCCUUA
rnacentral:lncRNA from 1 species